ensembl:lncRNA
AGAAGUAUUUUCUGCAGGGCUGGGCGGAGGAGGCGAUGAGUGCAAAGCAGGCAGGCUGCAUCCUCACAGGGGCACAGCCCUGUGCCUCCCUCCUAACCGCGGCUGGCGGGGCUUCAUGUGCGCCCGCCCUUCGUGUGGAGUCAGCAAGGCCCGGCGCGUGAGGGCCUGCGGUGGCCCUGAGGAGACCGGGGCCGCGGCUCCUGGGGCUCAGGGGGCUUCCCCUGCCUGGAUACCGCGACCUCAGGGUUAAGGCUGUUUCCUGUCUCAAGCUGUAGCCUCAGUCACUCUGUAAAAUCUCCACAGGAGGGAAAAGGGUAACCGCAGAGGGAGGAAGGCUGACGUCGAGGUGUCUCCUCUGGAAGCAGAGGACGGCCGAGGCCUAGCCCCGAUGGAGCCACUGUCGCAGAACUGCAGCAGGACGCUGUGGAGCCUGAAGCUUCCGGCCGUGAUGAAGAGAGGAUGGAACCGAGGCUGCAGGGGUACCAGGAAUAACGUUUCACCGGAGGACAGAAUUGCUGUCUGGUAACUGAUUUCUUGCUUUUUGAUGCGGUCUCCGCCCCGCCCGAUGCCUCUGUCGCAGCUCUCUCCUGUCUCCUCGUUCCUGGCCUUGGCAUCCUAAGUCUGGCCUCGUGCCUCUUGCCUUUCUUCUGCUGGCUGGUGUCACAUUCCAACUGUGCGCCUUGAAUGCGGGCGCGUCUUUGCUCCCUUGGUUGACAGGGGUCAGGCGGGUGCUCUCGAAGGAUGUGCAAAUGCAGGAAACAUCUCCAGGGACGGUGACUUUGAUAGAGCCCUGCAUUUCUAAGGCAGGAAGGUAUGGAGAACAGCUGCACAGGUGUGGAAAGAGACGCUCCUCUGAAUGCCGGGCCUUUAAAUCCAGGACAGCCGGACUCUUCUCAGCAACCCCCUGACCUCACCUGACCUUUGCUGUGGCUACACAGACGGGGCGAGAACUCACUUCCUAUUUCCUAUCGCUUUCUCCAUUUUCUUCCCACCAUUCCCUCCUUCAAGUGUGUCCUAAAGGAAAUAAUGCACUGGGCUUCUGUUCUUUCUUUCCUUUUUUUUUUUUCCUCUUUUCAUCAAACAGUAUGACUGGUAAAAAAUUCCAUGUCAUAUAGACAUGUUUCUUCCUUGUAGCUGCUGCUUAGUAAUCACUAACAUGAAACCGUUUACUCCACCAUUUUCCUUCUAGGUUUUCCCAUUUUCCAUGAUUAUCAACAGUGUUCCAAACAUCCUCUCCUCUGCCCUCCCUCUGUACAUUCAGUGGUUUCUCUGAGUAGAGGUGGAGAUUCAGUUUGGGGCAGGAAAUGGGGAGGUAACUGACAUGGACUAUACAGAACUUUGGUUCAGCAAAGCCACUCAACAAAGAUUUAUUGGGCGCCCACUAACUUCAAGAUGCUAUUCAAGGUACCAGGGUUACAGCAAAGGAAUAACAGCGAGAACUCCCUUAACACUGGGGCUGUAAGCCUUUGUCUGUGCAGACCUGAAAAUCCCAGCAAUACUCUCUCUCUCUCUCUCUCUCUCUCACACACACACACACACACACACACAUCUGGUCCACAAGAAAGGUCUCAGGCCAGGUGUAAUUUGUAAUUUUUUAUCUGGCUCAUAAGCCACUGCAGUUUGCCUGUUCCAUUUUUAGUUCAGUUUGGCGUGUGCUGCCCAUGCCCCCUCGGGUCUGCAUCCCCACCAAAGCAUGACGUUCUGAUUGUGUCAGCAAACCUCGGGCUGCAGGUUUCCUGGUCUUAGCACACAACAUACCCGUCUCAGCCUCCUUCGGUGAUGGGGGCUCCAGGCUUCCACAGGUGGACCUGUGGACCUGUACUGGCUGAAGUCACCCAGGAAUUUUACUUGCCGCUGUCCUUUCAUUUGGGGUCAGGUCGUUUCUGAGGCCUGUUUCCUCGAUAUCUAUUAAACUUUUGUCAGUCAUCAAUUAACUUCCUUUCUCUUGGCAUGCGGAAGUUUCAGGGCCAGGGCUUGAACCUGUGCCAUAGCAGUGACCCAAGCCACAGCUGUGACAAUGCUGGAUCCUAACCCGCUGUGUUACCAGGGAACUCCAUCAAUUAAACCCUUAAGUGAAUUUUCUUUUCAGGUUAUUUUGGUCCCACAAGAGGACCCUGCGGCUGUAGAGUGGGAUUAAUGCCAAAGGCCUAAAAAGGUGCAAAGCAGGAAAUGACCCUGUCCUUGGUCGGUCGUUAUGGGUUGGAUGCCAAAGGGGGGGCAUGAGACAUGAUUCAAGUCUUACCUCUUCGCUCCUGUUUCCGUCUUUACUUUCUCAAGCCUGUGCUUUCCUGCCACAUCUUUGCCGUUAAUUUCUUCAGUUUGGGUUCUGCAGGGGAAGAAAUGAAGUAUUUAUUUUCCUCUUUGUUUCAGGGAAGGUUGAAAGUGAGACUUGUAAGAGCCUAAAGGAAUGUCGUAAGGAAAAGAGGUGGCUUCGCUUGGUUUUUCUCCCCUCAGAAGUGAGUCAGGGGCCGUUCAUUCAAAGUGGGAGUGUUUAGAGUCAUGUCUCAGUGGCAUGUGUGACAGGUGUACCCUACCAGACUUGGCAUAGUGAAGAGGCACAGUCUGUGAAGUGGGGGGAAAGGCUUUUUUUUUUCCUCUCAGAAUUAGUAAAGUAGGUGCCAUUUCCAUGGCAUUAUUUUAAAUAUAAACCUGACCGGAGGCCAGUGGUCAAACUAGGUAUUGACUAGGUAUUGGCUUCAUCAAAAUACUCAAGAGUUUGUGGCAUGAAUGAUCGAAUGGCCUUGUGAUGCUUAAGAAAGGCAGCAGUUAUUUCCUUACUAAGAUGGAAAUGUAUUUAAGUGUAUUAAGAGAGGUUUUGUAUGAACAACUUCUUCCCUUUGAAAUUUAAUUUGUAAUAUAGAUAAAACCUGCAAAAACUACAGGAAGCAAUUCAGUUGGAUCUAAAUCUGAGCCUACAGUUUUUGGAAGCCUGUCAUUCUCAGGAAUAGCAGUAAGGCUCUCUUAACAAAUCUACAAAACUGGAGGUAUAAUCAAAUCAUCUAGGUUUUUUUUUUUUUUUUAAAUUAGAACUCUUGUUCAUUAGAAUUUAAAGUUCAAAAAGGGGAUUACAAUUAUUAAAGCAGCAAUAUGCCCAGCCCAAGGGGAUGGAUCAUGAUUUUUCUAGGCCUUUCAUGUUACUCCUCCUCAUCCAGAUGUUUUUCCAGCCUUUCCUCUGAAGAUGGUCAUGUGACCCAGUUUGGGCCAAUAACAUGUCAUGGAAAGUCUGGGAAACUCUCAGGAAUUUUUCCCCCCCCUGAUUAAAGGGAAGCUCUUUUCAACUCCUUUUUUUCCUUUUUUUUUUUCCUCCCCUGUUCCUAACACUAGUUAAUGGGAUCUGGAUCUAUGGCAACGAUCUUGCACACGUGAGGUGAAAAGUACAAAGAUGAACACCCACCAUGUUAAAGAAAUCAGAGCAGAAAAAUGGAAGGAACCUGUCUCCCAGAUGAUGUUCUUGAGCCACUGAAUCACUGCCAGUAACCAUAUUCCUCUGAGCAUUUUGAGCAAACAAACCUUGAUCGCUUGUGGCUCUAUUAGUCAAGGAUCCUGUUACUUUCAGCUAAAAACGUUUCUAGUUGACACACUCCAAUCCUAUCCAGAUCAGGCCGCAGAUCCAUUUUCCAGGUAUGCCUCCCUCUCUUGAUUUAGAAUGUUUUCUUUUCCUCCCCUGCGCCACUUCUGCAUGUAUCCUGAAAUAUUCAGUCACCUCCUCUUUGAAGGUUUUGCUGAUCUUUCAUCUGUCUUUCUGAAGCACAUUGCUAACACCUCCCGUAAAGCAUGUUCCAUUUUUGCGUGGCCAUGUACUCACCUGCUGCUUCUGUAGAUUCUGGUAUCCGCUGGAAGGGCAAAGGCCACAGCUCAUUCCCCAUCUCCUGCCUAAAUUGGGCCUUUACAUAUAAGGGAGUUGAGGGGAGGAGUUAGGGUGGGAGGUGGCGUUCUCACAACUGCCUGUUGAAUAUAUGCUAAGACUGAGGAGUCUGCAGAUUAAAAAGCCACCCUUAGCCCUCCCUGUAAACAUCUGGAAAGUAUUAUCCUUACAAAUGAUUUUGUAAAUACUCCAGGAAAUUGGCUUCUACUACCAUUCCAGCAGCUAGUGGAGCCAGUUUGGCUUCAGGUCUUAGAGAAAUGAUUUGUCAUCUGUUUCAUUUGUUCGCUUUUUCCUGACAGAGCUGGAAUUCUGGAUUGUUCCCCACUUAAAAAGCUGCCGAAGCCAAACCAGAAGUAGACAGGGCAGGAUGUGUGGCCCUUCCUUCCCACUCAUUUCACAGGGUAAAAAUUCACAGGCAGUUUUCCUAGAAUUACAUUUUGUGACUGGAUUUUCAAUAGCAUAUUAUGAUUUUUUUUUCCCCUAUAAGAGAGAGGAUCUUAUAUAUUUGAGAGGGAAAAGCUUGGAAUUACCUUUAUCAGUACAGGCAGAGCCCUAACAAAUGGCUCCUUCUGAUAUUCAUUUUUAGGAGGAAAAGAGGGAAAUUAAAAUGUAUGAGAUGCCUCUGGUAUAUCAUAGAUUGUUUACAUCUCAUUCAAACCCUACAGCCUGAUAAUAGAUAUUAUUCUGUUUUACUGGUGAAAGAACUGGUAAUUUUCCCAAGGUGGCAAUACUGGCAGUGGAGCUCAGACCUUCAGUAGUUGGAAGUUUAAAUUUUGUUUUUCUCAGAACAUAGCAAUUCUUCCCAAGGAGUGGCAUCUUCACUCCCUUCUGUUAAAGAUAAUCAUAAUAUUGUAAUAAAAACUUUGC